CCGAGACAGACGUGGUCUGACGAGAAGAGCAGGUCCCGCCCUCAGGUGUUUGGGACUCAACUGAGGGUGUAGGUUCCCGCCGUGGGGGCUGAACAGCCCUGAGGUGUGGGGAGACAAAGGGAUCCAAGUCGUGUCUUUCCUGCUUUGGGAAUCGGUGCCCCGGCUGUCUGGUGAGGCAGAGAGAUGGGCCCUAGGGGCCCCUCCCGGCCCCAGUGAGUGUGGUGUCUUGCUCCAGGGUGUCCUGGAGCUACUUUCCUUUUAAAAACAGUGGAACAUCUGAGAAGGGUGUAGACUCUGAGCCCCAGAAACAGGAGCUGAUAGAGAAGAACCAAGUGUGAUGCUGAGUCUGCUAGACAGGUUCCUGGAGCAGGAGUGAAGAGCUCAGGCCCCAUCAUUGGGACACUUCAGUUCAGCAUCUCAGGAGUCAGUCCAUCUGUGUGGCCCCCACACCCAGGCCUCUUGGCCCAUGGGACAGGAUUUCAUCCCCACCAUCAUCUUCAUGUCCGGUGGGAAGCAUGACACAGCCCAGACUCCACAUCAGGCAAGUUUUCCACCAUCAGUCUUUAAACCCUGGAAAUCCAUCAUCUAAACAGGAGGCUGCUGGUUGAUAUGUGUAGAAGGCAAAGGGUAGACAUUUGACCCUGGAAAAUUUACUUACUCUGUUAAUCUGAGCUUGGCCAUCUGUGAAAGGUGCCUACUAAGGUGCCUACUUCCAGGCUUCUUGUAAGAAGAAAAGGGAAAAACCUCAAAGAACAUCUGGCAUGUAGUGGGACUUUGAGAUAUAUUACUCCCAGCCCAUCCUACCACCUCUGUCCCAUAAAACAGAAGAUUUGAAACAGCAUCUGGAAUUGUAUCAGCAAGAAGUGAAUUUUGGUUCCAUCUCAUCGUUUCUUUUUUUCCACAUGCUUUCCUGUCUCCUUAUUUUCAUUCUAGUUUGAUAUGAGUGAAGCAAUUUUUAUUGAGCUCCAGGAAGAAGAAAUAGUACAGAAGAGAAAGAAAAACGGGUCUGCUAGACAGAAGAUGGGAGUCAUCAAACGCGUCCCAGUAGCCAGACCCAUCAACUGAGUGCAGGACCUUGGGUGCUGGCUACCUGAUGGAAAGGAGGAAGGAAGAAACAUAAGGAGAACAAAUACACAUUCACAUCUCAACACUGUGACCUGCCAUAUAUGCCUUCCUUACCAUGUGUAUUCUCUUGCAGAGCUACUAAAAUGGACACAGCCUUUUUUUUUUAGUUUAUGUGCUGUAGGGAGCACUAACACAUUCUGCAGAUACUAUUUUCAGCCUUUUUUUCCCUGAUGUCUUCAAAGUCUUAGUUUCCCAAGUGCCAUCUAGCUCAAAAUAAUUUCUCAGUAUAUCCUUAAUAUAAAAUAUCUUUCCAUUUGUCCAGGCCUCAUUUACUGGCUUUCAUUCACAAUUACUCAUGUAAGCCUAUGUAUCCAGAACCUAAUCUGUAGUAUCCUGGUGAAAGUUAGUUCUUCUGUGUCCGUAUUAUUACCCAUAUUCAUUGAUUGGCUUAAGGAUGCAUCCUAUUUUGAACUUGAUCUGAUUUUAUAUUGCAAGUACUGGCCAUGCAUAUAUUUUCCUUUCCUUUUAUUGUUUUUAAUUGCACAAGAAAGGUAAUUCAGUGGUGUUUUAAUAUGCCUGAUUGCUUCUGAAUGAGCCUGUGACUAAACUUUAACCCUGAAUCCCACCACUUAAGGGUUAUCCCCUCUGGAUGCUGUGGAACUGAGCUCUGGGCCAUCUCAUGCAGGCCCUCACCCUUUCCCUCCCCUGUGGCAUUCACUGCUUGGCUAACUGGGAGGUUAGGCUGAUGAGCCUACUUUUAAUUUAAGGAGAUUUAUUUGGGAGAGUACAGAAAGAAAAAUGUUGUGAAACUGCUUUUAUCUAAAAUCCAGGAAAGUGGAGACCAUCUGUUGAAUAUAAGGUUUAUUUGAGAGACAUGCUUGCCCUUCCCCUAGGCAUUUAUAUUUUCCCUGAAGCUGCUAAAUGGGGACUGUCAUGUGGAUAGAUUCAUGAAUUAGUUUCAUAAUCACCUUAUUAACUAAUUCCCUUGGUUUAGGUAUGUUCUUCAGCUGACACUGACUCACUUUCCUAUGGAACACCUGGGGAUAUUUAUUUUUUCUCUUUAUCCUUUUCACUUCAAAACUCAGGUGUUUUUGUUGUAGAUAAAAGUGGGAAAUGCAGGAAAGGUAAACAAAAAAACUUAGAAACCCUUAAAAGUCUAUUACUCAUGGAUAAACACGUUUAAUAGUUGAAUAUAAUGUUUUUCAGAAAACAAGACCUACCUGUAUGUUGUCUACAAGAAACCCACUUUAAAUACAAAGAUUCAUAUAGAUUAAAGGUAAAUGGAUAAAGAAUAUUCUAACAUGCUAACGCUAACCAAAAGAAAGCAGGAGUAGCUAUUUUCAUUUCAGACAGAGCAUACUUCAAAGCAAGGUAAGUUAUCAGAGAUAAGUAAAGGCAUUACACAAUGAUCAGAGAGGUCAAUUCUGCAAUACAUAACAAUCCUUCAUGUUUAUGUGCCUAACAACAAAGUGUGAGGCAAAAAAAUGUGAGGCAAAAACUAAUAGAAUUGUGAAGGGAAGAUUGAUCACAUGAUCAUAUCAAUACAUUUGACAAAAGCAUUUAAUAAAAUGUAUCACCCAUUCAUGAUUUUAAAAAAACCUCGCAGUAAACUAGUAAUAGAGGAGAAAUUCCUCACAUCGAUAUUGAAUAUCUACAAAACCCAAUAGCUGGCAUCAUACUAAUGAUGAGAAACUUAAAGUUUCCCCACUAAAAUUAGGUACAAAGUAAGGACGUCCUCUCUCACAACGCCUUUUCAGCAUCAUACCGAAAGUUCUAGCUAAAUAAAAAGAAGAGGAAAUAAAAGUAUACAGAUUAGGAAGGAAGAAAUAUGAUGGUCUUUGUUCACAAAUGACAUUAUCAUCUAUGUAGAAAAUCCAAAAGAAUUAACAACAACAAAAAAUACCCCUUUGGAACAAAUAAACAGUUAUGGCAAGGUUGCAGUAUACAAGGUUAAUAUGCCACUUUCCUAUAUACCAGCAAAAAAAGUAGAGUUUGAAGUUGAAAACACAAUGCCAUUUACAUUAGCAUCCCCCAAAAUGAAGUACUUAGGUAUAAAUCUAACAAAAUAUCUAUAAGAUCUAUAUGAGGAAAACUAUAAAACUCUGAUGAGUGAAAUCAAAGAACUAUAUAAAUAGAGAUAUUCCAGUUCAUGGACAGGAAGACUCAAUAUUGUCAAGAUGUCAGUUUUUCCCAACUUGGUCUGUAGGAUCAAUGCAGUACUCCUAAAAUCCAAGCAAGUUAUUUUGUGGAUGUUGAAAAAUUGAUCCUAAAAUUUACAGUGAGAGGCAAAAGACCCAAAAUAGCC